rnacentral:rRNA from 1 species
GACGAACGCUGGCGGCGUGCCUAAUACAUGCAAGUCGAACGCAGUGGGGACGGGUGAGUAACACGUGGGUAACCUCCCAUCAGAGGGGAUAACACUUGGAAACAGGUGCACAACUGAUACUGAUGGAUGGACCCGGGGUGCAUUAGCUAGUUGGUGAGGUAGCGGCUCACCAAGGCCACGAUGCAUAGCCGGCCUGAGAGGGUGAUCGGCCACACUGGAACUGAGACACGGCCCAGACUCCGACGGGAGGCAGCAGUGGGGAAUAUUGGGCAAUGGACGAAAGCCUGACCGAGCAACGCCGCGUGUGUGAAGAAGGUUUUCGGAUUGUAAAACUCUGUUGUUAGAGAAGCGUUACCUAACCAGAAAGCCACGGCUAACUACGUGCCAGCAGCCGCGGUAAUAC